rnacentral:rRNA from 1 species
UCGCUGUAAUCGCGGAUCAGCAUGCCGCGGUGAAUACGUUCCCGGGCCUUGUACACACCGCCCGUCACACCACGAGAGUUGGCAACACCCGAAGUCGGUGAGGUAACCUUUAUGGAGCCAGCCGCCGAAGGUGGGGCCAAUGAUUGGGGUGAAGUCGUAACAAGGUAGCCGUAUCGGAAGGUGCGGCUGGA